rnacentral:rRNA from 1 species
AACGUAGGAGGCAAGCGUUAUCCGGAGUUACUGGGCGUAAAGCGCAUGUAGGCGGUUGGACAAGUUGGGUGUGAAAGCUCCCGGCUAAACUGGGAGAGGACAUUCAAGACUGUUCGACUAGAGGAUGGUAGAGGGGCGUAGAAUUCCGGGUGUAGCGGUGAAAUGUGUAGAGAUCCGGAGGAAUACCAGUGGUGAAGACGACGCCCUGGGCCAUUACUGACGCUGAGAUGCGAAAGCGUGGGGAGCGAACGGG